CUUUGGGGAGGCCUAACGGUCUCACCCAAUGGCUUGGGGUUCUGCCGGCUGUGAGGGGUGGCGGUUAACUCACUUUAAGCAAUCAAUUCUGAAGGCAGAUCUAUUGGCUAGCAUUGCUGGCUAUAGACUGAACAAAUACAGACAACUCUCAACAACGGAUAUCUUGGCUCCCGUAACGAUGAAGAACGCAGCGAAAUGCGAUACGUAGUGUGAAUUGCAGAAUUCCGUGAACCAUCGAAUCUUUGAACGCAAAUUGCGCUCGAGGCUUCGGCCAAGAGCAUGUCUGCCUCAGCGUCGGCUACUACCCUCAACUAAGUUUCCUACGAAAGACUAGGGGAUGCCAGUUGGAUAUGGCCGUCCGGUUUGCCUUUCAGGCUGCCGGUCAGCUGAAAUACAUUCACGCUCUGGGGGCUGCUUUCCUUGAAAGGCUACUUUCAAGGGGAGGCGAGUUCCGAUUUGGUAGGUGACCUUUGCCGGUUACAUGCCUUCGUUGCUCGCUAAGCUUCCCAAUAGUCGUUGUGCAGGACGCCUUUUGGCUUUCGACCUGAGGUCAGGCAAGAACACCCGCUGAACUUAACCAUAUCAAUAAGCGGAGGAAAAGAA
rnacentral:rRNA from 1 species